UUGUGUCGAUACAAUAUUCAGUUGUUUCUUUUUUGCUUUCUACAAUGGUAGGAAUAGAGUGCUCUUAUUUUAUACAAUGGAACACAAAUUGCUUCCCUACUAACUAAACAAGCUAAAAAAAUUGGUUAAAUCAGUGCAAAAUUGACAUUUAAUUUGUGUUGAAUUUGCUAGGGAAUAUGGAUAACUAUGAUAGUCUUUUGACUGAUGGAGACAAUGGCAAUACUUGAGAUGGAAAUUUAGAUUAGCCUGUAGUUAAGGAGCAAGAAGAACCAAUUCAAAUACCUUCUCCCUCCAUGAGACCAAACAGCAAAAGAUCAAAAAAAACAAUUGUAAGGAGGAAAAUAAAAUAUUGGUGUCAGCAUGGCUACAUAUAAGUAUGGAUGGAGCCUUAGGGAUCCAACAAUCUCGCUCUAUUUAUUGGAAGAGAAUUCAUUUUUACUUCCACAAGCACAAGAACUUCGAGUCAGAUUGUAAUCCAACUUCCCUCCAGAACCGUUGGUCUGAUAUUUAAAAAGCUAUUAACAAGUUUGCUUCUCGUGUUGAUGAGAUUAAGUGGAGAAAGCAAAGCGGAGUUACAGAAAGAGACAAGAUUGUUGAAGCAUGUACCGUUAAUAGCUUGAGACCUGGUAGCAACUCAGAAAGUAAUCCCUUGAGAAGACCAAGUGGUAAGAAGGAGGCCAAAGAGAGAUUACGACAAGGUAAAAGUUGCUUGGGCAUAGAAGAUAACAUGUACAUGGAAGCAUUUGAUAGUUUCUGGGCAAAAAAGGUGGAAAUGGAGAAAGUGAAAGAACUCAAGAAAGAGGAGCACUAUGAAUAAGCACAUGCGCAAGAACAAGAGAGAAUUGCAUUAGAACAAAAAAUGAUUGCAAUUGAGGCCAAACAGCUUGAAGUUAAGAAUAAAGAGUUGGAGUUUAAGAUAUGGUUGGAAGAGGAGAGAAUUAUGGGGAUAGACACUAGUGUCAUGACUGGGCCACAACAAGAAUAUUACAUGAGCUUGCAAAAUGAGAUUAUUGCUAGAUGACGCAAUCGCUCGGGUUGAGCUACUUCAUAUAUUGUCUCAACUAUAAUUUUACUAUGCUGUACUAUAUAUACGUUGUGGGAACCAUGAACUUGUGAGAACCAUUAUGUUGUAUGAACAAUUAACUUGUGUUA